rnacentral:rRNA from 2 species
GUGAGUGAAGAAGGUUUUCGGAUCGUAAAACUCUGUUGUAAGGGAAGAACACAUACGAGAGUAACUGCUCGUAUCUUGACGGUACCUUAUUAGAAAGCCACGGCUAACUACGUGCCAGCAGCCGCGGUAAUACGUAGGUGGCAAGCGUUGUCCGGAAUUAUUGGGCGUAAAGCGCGCGCAGGCGGUUCUUUAAGUCUCAUGUGAAAGCCCACGGCUCAACCGUGGAGGGUCAUUGGAAACUGGAGAACUUGAGUACAGAAGAGGAAAGCGGAAUUCCACGUGUAGCGGUGAAAUGCGUAGAGAUGUGGAGGAACACCAGUGGCGAAGGCGGCUUUCUGGUCUGUAACUGACGCUGAGGCGCGAAAGCG